rnacentral:rRNA from 1 species
CACGUAGGCACCAAGAGUUGUCCGGAUUUAUUGGGCGUAAAGAGCUCGUAGGCGGUUCGGUAAGUCGGGUGUGAAAACUUUGGGCUCAACCCAAAGCGUGCACUCGAUACUGCCAUGACUAGAGUUCGGUAGGGGAGUGGGGAAUUCCUAGUGUAGCGGUGAAAUGCGCAGAUAUUAGGAGGAACACCGGUGGCGAAGGCGCCACUCUGGGCCGAAACUGACGCUGAGGAGCGAAAGCGUGGGUAGCAAACAGG